AAAAACAUUUUUAUUUUUAAAAAAGAUUUAAUAAAAAGAAAAAAAAAAUUGGCCAAGAUUAUCCUCUCACCUCCCCUCCUCUUCCAUCCAUGUAAUUCGAACCAUUCAGACUCUAAGACUAUAACCAAAAUUUUAAGUCCACGUUGCCUUUGCGCUCACUCUAUAUAUAGAGCACUAUCUAUUGUUUGAAAUCGUACAUAGCUCUAGCUUUCUAUAAUUUUUUCUUUAAGAUGUCUUACUUUAAGAAGCUUAUGUUGAAUAUGGUUUUGUUGUUUGUGCUUCUUAUAACAAUUGAAUUGGCAUCUGCAAGGGCACCCCUUUGGGUUUCUGAGCCUCGUCUCAAAGCAUGUAAGUUUCUUUGUAUCUCUAAAAUUUAUUCUUUUAUAAAAUGUUCUAACCUUUAAAUUAAACUAUUAAUAAAAUAUUCAUAUUUCAUACAUAUGUCCUUUAAAUUAUGGCCCAUCAAGAUUUAGUAAAAUGAAAGCUCAUCUUUUUCAUCCCUCACAUGUAUUUUAGAUUGAUGAAUCAGAAAAAAAAUCAUUUUAAAAUCUAUAAUAAACUGACUAAAAUUAUAGAAUAGAUUUUUUACGAGAAAAAUCUAAAAUAAAUGGACACAUAUUCUCUAAAAAGUUUUGUUUUUCGCCAUAUAUUUUUAAAAUCUACGCAUGUGUCAUGAAAUAUACAUUUAAAAAUACAAAAUUGUGUUUUUAAAGAUGGAGACCGGAUAGAAAACUUUAUAUAUUUUUCCAAAAAUAUAUUGAAAGUACAUAUAUUUUCGAAAUUCAUUUUGGAAUGGUAAUGACUUUUCAAUAUUCUGUUGUGGACUUUUAAGAUGGACGCAGACUGACGGCUGAUGAUGGAAGAAACCACCAUUAUCAUAAUCAUCCCUGAAUCCAGAUGGACCCUUAAUUGAGGAACCAAGGCUCAAUUAUAUGCUGCCAAUUCAAAUGUUAGAUAAUAAUCUAUUGAAUUUUUGUUAUUGAGCAUUUUACAUUUCUAUAUUAGUAAUCUUGUUAUUUUAAUUUGGUUUGUUAUAUAUUUUACUUGUAAUGUAUACUUUCAUAAAUUAUACUAUUGAUAUUGAUAUUGAUAUUAUUAUAUCUCUAGCUAGUCUCUUUCUUAUUUUUCG
rnacentral:lncRNA from 1 species